UCAGUUAAUACUGAUAAACUGCCAGCAAUAACUGCCAAUUGCGCCGCCGUCUGGAGCUGCCAGUUCAUUCAUUUAGGGAGUGCGGCGGCUCAAGGGGAAGCGCUCCCGACCGCCCCCCCCCCCCCCCCCCCCCCCCCCCCCCCCCCCCCCNNNNNNNNNNNNNNNNNNNNCCCCCCCCCCCCCCCCCCCGCGUCUUCUCUGUCUGGUCUCCCGGAGGCAUCUGGCGGAGGCGAAGGGCCACUGCCCACUUCUGUGGGCAAGGGAAAGCCAAUACUGGUCAGCUGCAGGGUGGCGGAGCAGGCUGCGGGGCGGAAUCGGGCCUGGGCUGGGCUGGGCUGGGCUGGGCUGGCAGGAGAGGCCCGCCCGGUUCUGCCGCCCGGCAGGCAUGGAGAUGAUAUCCGCUUUGAGGAUGAAUCUCCGAGGAUGUUUCCCCGCCGAGCCGUGGGAUCUCUUUGUGCAGGGCCACGGAAGGAAGCCUCAGCAAUCAGGGAGUGGCUGUGGUCAACCUUGACGUGAUAAGGUGGGCAACUUGAAGGCACUGAGGCUAUGCUAGGAGUCGGCCCACAGGAGUGAGGGCUAAGAGGGAGUCUGGACUUUAGGGCAGCCAGUCCCUGAGCACAGUGCCCCACCUCUCCUGCAGAGCUCCCUGGAGCUCAAGCUCAGAAAGGUAAGUGGACUUGUGAAAAUUCCUUAGCAGGGGGAGCGGGAGAGGAAGCCUGAUUCUGGAGCCUGGAGCCCUAGGUGGCAGUUCUUGCUGUAUUACUCCAUGCCCUUGGGCAUGUUGCUUUUUUCCCUGAGCCUCAGUUUCUCCUCCUGUCUAAUAGGAUGCAUUUCAUAAAAGCUAUGGGGUGGGGAGGGACUCUGUAAAUGCAAAGGAGAUCAUAGUUACAAGUUUCAUCUCUCAUCCAUGAAAACAGGCAGCAGCCCAGCUUUAUCUUCUAAGGGGCACUCGGAGGCAGGCCUGUAUCUCCGCCCUUGUCUGGCGUUGCCUCGCAGGCCCCUUUCUCACAUGGGGUAUGUUUAGGACCCAUGAUGCUUCCCCUCCUAGGGGUGCAAGGGAAAUGGCUGAUAUUAGAAUCCAGAGACUUGCCAUUUUUUUGUACCACUGAUUCAAAUCAAGAUACUGUCUUUCAGUCUCCUCUCUGUCUUGCUGAAUUCGUUCCAGUUCCCUUACCAAGCCCAUCUUGAUUGAGAGAGAGUUGGUCCUUGAAA
rnacentral:lncRNA from 1 species